AUGAAAUGCAAGGAUGCUCUCUUUAGAGGUCCGACCCAUUACAUUUUCUCACCCUGUGCACACAAAUAUUUACACACAUUUUUUAAACACAACGUAUUAGGAAUGUAAUCAGUCUCUUAAAUGAGCAUAAAGUUAAUA
rnacentral:misc_RNA from 1 species